rnacentral:rRNA from 1 species
GGUUAAGCGACUAAGCGUACACGGUGGAUGCCCCGGCAGUCAGAGGCGAUGAAGGGCGUGCUAAUCUGCGAUAAGCGCCGGUAAGGUGAUAUGAACCGUUAUAACCGGCGAUACCCGAAUGGGGAAACCCAGUGUGACUCGUCACACUAUCAUUAACUGAAUCCAUAGGUUAAUGAGGCGAACCGGGGGAACUGAAACAUCUAAGUACCCCGAGGAAAAGAAAUCAACCGAGAUUCCCCCAGUAGCGGCGAGCGAACGGGGAGGAGCCCAGAGCCUGAAUCAGCAUGUGUGUUAGUGGAAGCGUCUGGAAAGGCGCGCGAUACAGGGUGACAGCCCCGUACACAAAAGCGCAUGUGCUGUGAGCUCGAUGAGUAGGGCGGGACACGUGGUAUCCUGUCUGAAUAUGGGGGGACCAUCCUCCAAGGCUAAAUACUCCUGACUGACCGAUAGUGAACCAGUACCGUGAGGGAAAGGCGAAAAGAACCCCGGCGAGGGGAGUGAAAAAGAACCUGAAACCGUGUACGUACAAGCAGUGGGAGCACCCUUCGGGGUGUGACUGCGUACCUUUUGUAUAAUGGGUCAGCGACUUAUAUUCUGUAGCAAGGUUAACCGUAUAGGGGAGCCGGAGGGAAACCGAGUCUUAAUUGGGCGUUAAGUUGCAGGGUAUAGACCCGAAACCCGGUGAUCUAGCCAUGGGCAGGUUGAAGGUUGGGUAACACUAACUGGAGGACCGAACCGACUAAUGUUGAAAAAUUAGCGGAUGACCUGUGGCUGGGGGUGAAAGGCCAAUCAAACCGGGAGAUAGCUGGUUCUCCCCGAAAGCUAUUUAGGUAGCGCCUCGUGAAUUCAUCUCCGGGGGUAGAGCACUGUUUCGGCUAGGGGGCCAUCCCGGCUUACCAACCCGAUGCAAACUGCGAAUACCGGAGAAUGUUAUCACGGGAGACACACGGCGGGUGCUAACGUCCGUCGUGAAGAGGGAAACAACCCAGACCGCCAGCUAAGGUCCCAAAGUCAUGGUUAAGUGGGAAACGAUGUGGGAAGGCCCAGACAGCCGGGAUGUUGGCUUAGAAGCAGCCAUCAUUUAAAGAAAGCGUAAUAGCUCACUGGUCGAGUCGGCCUGCGCGGAAGAUGUAACGGGGCUAAACCAUGCACCGAAGCUGCGGCAGCGACGCUGAUGCGUUGUUGGGUAGGGGAGCGUUCUGUAAGCCUGCGAAGGUGACCUGUGAGGGUUGCUGGAGGUAUCAGAAGUGCGAAUGCUGACAUAAGUAACGAUAAAGCGGGUGAAAAGCCCGCUCGCCGGAAGACCAAGGGUUCCUGUCCAACGUUAAUCGGGGCAGGGUGAGUCGACCCCUAAGGCGAGGCCGAAAGGCGUAGUCGAUGGGAAACGGGUUAAUAUUCCCGUACUUGGUGUUACUGCGAAGGGGGGACGGAGAAGGCUAUGUUGGCCGGGCGACGGUUGUCCCGGUUUAAGCGUGUAGGUGUGUGUUCGGGUAAAUCCGGUUCACUUUAACACUGAGGCGUGAUGACGAGGCACUACGGUGCUGAAGCAACAAAUGCCCUGCUUCCGGGAAAAGCCUCUAAGCAUCAGGUAACAUCAAAUCGUACCCCAAACCGACACAGGUGGUCAGGUAGAGAAUACCAAGGCGCUUGAGAGAACUCGGGUGAAGGAACUAGGCAAAAUGGUGCCGUAACUUCGGGAGAAGGCACGCUGACACGUAGGUGAAGUGAUUUACUCACGGAGCUGAAGUCAGUCGAAGAUACCAGCUGGCUGCAACUGUUUAUUAAAAACACAGCACUGUGCAAACACGAAAGUGGACGUAUACGGUGUGACGCCUGCCCGGUGCCGGAAGGUUAAUUGAUGGGGUCAGCGCAAGCGAAGCUCCUGAUCGAAGCCCCGGUAAACGGCGGCCGUAACUAUAACGGUCCUAAGGUAGCGAAAUUCCUUGUCGGGUAAGUUCCGACCUGCACGAAUGGCGUAAUGAUGGCCGGGCUGUCUCCACCCGAGACUCAGUGAAAUUGAACUCGCUGUGAAGAUGCAGUGUACCCGCGGCAAGACGGAAAGACCCCGUGAACCUUUACUAUAGCUUGACACUGAACAUUGAGCCUUGAUGUGUAGGAUAGGUGGGAGGCUUUGAAGUGUGGACGCCAGUCUGCAUGGAGCCGACCUUGAAAUACCACCCUUUAAUGUUUGAUGUUCUAACGUGGACCCGUAAUCCGGGUUGCGGACAGUGUCUGGUGGGUAGUUUGACUGGGGCGGUCUCCUCCUAAAGAGUAACGGAGGAGCACGAAGGUUGGCUAAUCCUGGUCGGACAUCAGGAGGUUAGUGCAAUGGCAUAAGCCAGCUUGACUGCGAGCGUGACGGCGCGAGCAGGUGCGAAAGCAGGUCAUAGUGAUCCGGUGGUUCUGAAUGGAAGGGCCAUCGCUCAACGGAUAAAAGGUACUCCGGGGAUAACAGGCUGAUACCGCCCAAGAGUUCAUAUCGACGGCGGUGUUUGGCACCUCGAUGUCGGCUCAUCACAUCCUGGGGCUGAAGUAGGUCCCAAGGGUAUGGCUGUUCGCCAUUUAAAGUGGUACGCGAGCUGGGUUUAGAACGUCGUGAGACAGUUCGGUCCCUAUCUGCCGUGGGCGCUGGAGAACUGAGGGGGCUGCUCCUAGUACGAGAGGACCGGAGUGGACGCAUCACUGGUGUUCGGGUUGUCAUGCCAAUGGCACUGCCCGGUAGCUAAAUGCGGAAGAGAUAAGUGCUGAAAGCAUCUAAGCACGAAACUUGCCCCGAGAUGAGUUCUCCCUGAGACUUUAGGUCUCCUGAAGGAACGUUGAAGACGACGACGUUGAUAGGCCGGGUGUGUAAGCGCAGCGAUGCGUUGAGCUAACCGGUACUAAUGAACCGUGAGGCUUAACCUU